rnacentral:rRNA from 1 species
AAAUUGAAGAGUUUGAUCAUGGCUCAGAUUGAACGCUGGCGGCAGGCCUAACACAUGCAAGUCGAGCGGUAGCACAGAGAGCUUGCUCUCGGGUGACGAGCGGCGGACGGGUGAGUAAUGUCUGGGAAACUGCCUGAUGGAGGGGGAUAACUACUGGAAACGGUAGCUAAUACCGCAUAACGUCGCAAGACCAAAGUGGGGGACCUUCGGGCCUCAUGCCAUCAGAUGUGCCCAGAUGGGAUUAGCUGGUAGGUGGGGUAACGGCUCACCUAGGCGACGAUCCCUAGCUGGUCUGAGAGGAUGACCAGCCACACUGGAACUGAGA